UGCAUGUGUAAGUUUAAAGACCAAGUAGGAUGAAACUGCGGACGGCUCAUUAUAACAGUAAUAGUUUCUUUGGUUAGUCGGUACAAGGAUAACUUUGUGAAUGAUAAAGCUAAUACUUGAGACGAUCCGGGGAGUAUCAAUACUUUUCGGCCGUUGGCCGCAAGGCUGGCGAGAAACGACAUUCUCUUGUGUCAAAGGAUGCCGCGACAAUUGAGGAAAGCGACGCUUUUAACAAGUAACCAAUGGGAAUUUCUGAUCUAUCAAUUUGUUGGUAGUAUCGAGGACUACCAAGAUUAUAACGGAUAACGAGGAAUUGGGGUUCGACAUCGGAGAGGGAGCUUUACAGAUGGCUACCACUUCUAAGGAAGGCAGCAGGCGCGUAAAUUACCCACUUUCGACUUGAAGAGGUAGUGACGACAAAUAACUCUUGGCGCCCUUCGGGGUGACUUGAAGGAAUGAUUUAGAAGUAAAUUCUCUAAAGAAAUCAAUUGGAGGGCAAGUCUGGUGCCAGCAGCCGCGGUAAUUCCAGCUCC
rnacentral:rRNA from 1 species